rnacentral:rRNA from 1 species
UACGGGGGGGGCAAGCGUUGUUCGGAAUUACUGGGCGUAAAGGGCUCGUAGGCGGCCAACUAAGUCGGAUGUGAAAUCCCCAGGCUCAACCCGGGAACUGCGUCCGAUACUGGCAGGCUUGAAUUCGGGAGAGGGAUGCGGAAUUCCUGGUGUAGCGGUGAAAUGCGCAGAUAUCAGGAGGAACACCGGUGGCGAAGGCGGUGGUCUGGGCCGGCACUGACGCUGAGGAGCGAAAGCGUGGGUAGCAAACAGG